rnacentral:rRNA from 1 species
CACGUAGGGUGCGAGCGUUGUCCGGAAUUAUUGGGCGUAAAGAGCUCGUAGGCGGUGUGUCGCGUCGGCCGUGAAAACCUGCAGCUUAACUGUGGGCUUGCGGUCGAUACGGGCAUCACUGGAGUUCGGCAGGGGAGACUGGAAUUCCUGGUGUAGCGGUGAAAUGCGCAGAUAUCAGGAGGAACACCGGUGGCGAAGGCGGGUCUCUGGGCCGAAACUGACGCUGAGGAGCGAAAGCGUGGGGAGCGAACAGG